GAUCCAGACUCCUACGGGAGGCAGCAGUGAGGAAUAUUGGUCAAUGGUCGGGAGACUGAACCAGCCAAGCCGCGUGAGGGAGGAAGGUACAGAGUAUCGUAAACCUCUUUUGUCAGGGAACAAAGGCGGGGACGUGUCCCCGGAUGAGUGUACCUGAAGAAAAAGCAUCGGCUAACUCCGUGCCAGCAGCCGCGGUAAUACGGAGGAUGCGAGCGUUAUCCGGAUUUAUUGGGUUUAAAGGGUGCGCAGGCGGAGGCACAAGUCAGCGGUAAAAUCGCGGGGCUCAACCCCGCUCCGCCGUUGAAACUGUGUCCCUUGAGUGCGCGAAGGGUAGGCGGAAUGCGUGGUGUAGCGGUGAAAUGCAUAGAUAUCACGCAGAACUCCGAUUGCGAAGGCAGCAUACCGGCGCUCAACUGACGCUCAUGCACGAAAGCGUGGGUAUCGAACAGGAUUAGAUACCCCGGUA
rnacentral:rRNA from 1 species